AUAUGAGAGUGAUCUGUCAGCGACAUCUGUCACCCCAUUGAUUGCGAGGGUUGAUUCGGCUGAUCUGGCUGGCUAGGUGGGUGUCGCCUUCCUCCCUCACCGCUCCAUGUGCAUUUUUUCCUAUAAAAAAUUGGUAAUACUCAAUGAGAAUCAUAAUACAGUCUGCCACAGCAAUAAAUUAAAAAGAUUUCCAGAUUAGCAUUAUAUAUGGAUAACACCGCUAUUU
rnacentral:snRNA from 1 species